UUAGGGGUUUCUGGUUUUUCAGGAAAUGAAUUUAAUUCAUGCGUCUUAUUUAGAGUUUUAUCAUUUUUUGUUUAUUUUUAUUUGGCGUUAAGAUUGGGAGGGAUUAGCUUCUUAUUUUAUUUUUAUAAUUUUUUGUUUAUUUAGUCUUGUGGGUUUUAUAGUGAUUUUCAAUUUGAUUAUGUUAAAAUUUUAUUUGUUUUUUUCUUUAUUUUUAAUUAUUUAAUUAUUUAUUGAAAUGUAUUCUUUAUCUUUAAUUUUGUUUAGUAAUUAUUGUAGAAUUAGUAAAUUUGUCUUUAGGAUGUUUUAUUUGUGUUAAUUUUCUUUGAGGAACUAGGCAAAUUUCAUGUCCGCCUGUUUAACAAAAACAUCUUUUCUCGUUAGUUUUUGAAGUAUGGCCUGCCCGCUGACUUUGAUGUUGAAGGGCCGCGGUAUUUUGACCGUGCAAAGGUAGCAUAGUCAUUAGUUCUUUAAUUGUGAUCUGGUAUGAAUGGCUUGACGAGGCAUGGGCUGUCUUAAUUUUGAAUUGUUUAUUGAAUUUGGUUUUUGAGUUAAAAUUCUUAGAUGUUUUUAUGGGACGAGAAGACCCUAUAGAGUUUAACAUUUAUUACGGUUCUUUUCUGUUUGUGAGGGUUCGCUGGGCCGUUUAGUAUGUUUCGUUGGGGUGAUGGGAGGGAUUUAUUUAA
rnacentral:rRNA from 1 species